AUANUGGUCAAUGGACGCGAGUCUGAACCAGNCAGGUAGCGUGAAGGAUGACUGCCCUAUGGGUUGUAAACUUCUUUUAUAUGGGAAUAAAGUUUUCCACGUGUGGAAUUUUGUAUGUACCAUAUGAAUAAGGAUCGGCUAACUCCGUGCCAGCAGCCGCGGUAAUACGGAGGAUCCGAGCGUUAUCCGGAUUUAUUGGGUUUAAAGGGAGCGUAGGUGGACAGUUAAGUCAGUUGUGAAAGUUUGCGGCUCAACCGUAAAAUUGCAGUUGAUACUGGCUGUCUUGAGUACAGUAGAGGUGGGCGGAAUUCGUGGUGUAGCGGUGAAAUGCUUAGAUAUCACGAAGAACUCCGAUUGCGAAGGCAGCUCACUGGACCGUUGACUGACACUGAGGCUCGAAAGCGUGGGUAUCAAACA
rnacentral:rRNA from 1 species